rnacentral:rRNA from 1 species
UCUGACCUCAAAUCAGGUAGGACUACCCGUUGAACUUAAGCAUAUCAAUAAGCGGAGGA